UGCUAUACAUGCAGUCGAACGCACAGCGAAAGGUGCUUGCACCUUUCAAGUGAGUGGCGAACGGGUGAGUAACACGUGGACAACCUGCCUCAAGGCUGGGGAUAACAUUUGGAAACAGAUGCUAAUACCGAAUAAAACUUAGUGUCGCAUGACACAAAGUUAAAAGGCGCUUCGGCGUCACCUAGAGAUGGAUCCGCGGUGCAUUAGUUAGUUGGUGGGGUAAAGGCCUACCAAGACAAUGAUGCAUAGCCGAGUUGAGAGACUGAUCGGCCACAUUGGGACUGAGACACGGCCCAAACUCCUACGGGAGGCUGCAGUAGGGAAUCUUCCACAAUGGGCGAAAGCCUGAUGGAGCAACGCCGCGUGUGUGAUGAAGGCUUUCGGGUCGUAAAGCACUGUUGUAUGGGAAGAACAGCUAGAAUAGGAAAUGAUUUUAGUUUGACGGUACCAUACCAGAAAGGGACGGCUAAAUACGUGCCAGCAGCCGCGGUAAUACGUAUGUCCCGAGCGUUAUCCGGAUUUAUUGGGCGUAAAGCGAGCGCAGACGGUUUAUUAAGUCUGAUGUGAAAGCCCGGAGCUCAACUCCGGAAUGGCAUUGGAAACUGGUUAACUUGAGUGCAGUAGAGGUAAGUGGAACUCCAUGUGUAGCGGUGGAAUGCGUAGAUAUAUGGAAGAACACCAGUGGCGAAGGCGGCUUACUGGACUGCAACUGACGUUGAGGCUCGAAAGUGUGGGUAGCAAACAGGAUUAGAUACCCUGGUAGUCCACACCGUAAACGAUGAACACUAGGUGUUAGGAGGUUUCCGCCUCUUAGUGCCGAAGCUAACGCAUUAAGUGUUCCGCCUGGGGAGUACGACCGCAAGGUUGAAACUCAAAGGAAUUGACGGGGACCCGCACAAGCGGUGGAGCAUGUGGUUUAAUUCGAAGCAACGCGAAGAACCUUACCGGGUCUUGACAUCCUUUGAAGCUUUUAGAGAUAGAAGUGUCCUCUUCGGAAAAAAGUGACCGGUGGUGCAUGGCCGUCGUCAGCUCGUGUCGUGAGAUGUUGGGUUAAGUCCCCCACGAGGGCACCC
rnacentral:rRNA from 1 species